CUUCACAUUUGUAAGAUAACUCUUUCAAUUUCUUUCAAAUACUCAUCAUUGCUGUAAUGAAAAUUGAUACCCUUGGUGAAGAUAUUCUUCGCCUUCUCCUGGGAGAUGUUAAAGAAGAAAUUCAAGAGAGUUAGUAGGAUCAAAUUUUGAAUUAACUCACCAUCCAUGAUAUUGACUUAAUCACAUGAUUAAAUUAAUCAGAAUAUACUUGACAGUCAUAUUGUCAUCCCAC
rnacentral:lncRNA from 1 species